UUUUUUUUUUUUUUAUGCUUAUCUCCUUAUUUUCUUGUUUCCCACUCCCCCAAACCUAAACUCACCCCUCUUAUGGUGUUUGUGGCUCAGAUUAUUUGAGUAACCUCCACUUGAAGCCUGGAGACCAUAAAUGGGCCCUGUCAGAUUAUUUAGAGGCAUCUGUUUAGGAAGAUACAUUCAGGGGAAAGGUUGUUGCUGGAAGUCUUUAAAAUCACAAUAUCACAUAGUGGUUACCCAUUUCUGGGAGUGCUCCUAGAUACAUAUUAAGAAUUUUAUGAUUGGAGUUCCUGUUGGGGUGCAGUGGAAAAGAACCGACUAGGAACCAUGAGGUUGUGGGUUUGAUCCCUGGCCUUGCUCAGUGGGCCUUGCUCAGUGGGUUAAGGAUCAGGUGUUGCCGUGAACUGUGGUGUAGGUCACAGACACGGCUCAGAUCCCACAUUGCUGUAGCUAUGGUAUUGGCCAGCAGCUACAGCUCCUAUUUGACCCCUAGCCUGGGAACCUCCAUAUGCUACAGGUGCGGCCCUAAAAAUAAAAAAUAAAAAAUAAAAAAAAAAAGAAUUUGAUGAUUGACAUUUAGUUGCCUCUCAAUAAACAGCUAUAGAUAACUAUUGGGUUUGCUGCUGGGGUGACUGUGUUGCAUGAUUUUGUGCUUUCUGAAUACAAAAUAGGUCUUUGAGUAAGGUAUGCUUUUUUGACAGCUGUAGAUAACAUCUGAGAGACAAUUUAAUUCGUCUUCAACUGGAGCAGCAGAAAAUAAAAAGCAAACAGGUUACAUCACUACUACUGCUUAUUUGAUGAAUAACAAUAAAUAUGGAUGAAACACCUGAAGGAGCACACGAAUGCCUAGUUAGCAAAUUUGCCAAGUAUGCAGACAAUGGGUGUGCUGCAUGAUUAUGUUUGUUGAAAAUAAAAGAGAGACACACAUAAAUAGGCCUAGAGAGAAUGAAGAUUCAGUGACAGCAUCACAUAAAGCUCAUAAAGUAUCUUUCAUCUUGGGUAGUUGAAAGCAUUUUAAAAGUGUCCUCAUGACACCCUUCUGGUGCUAGUAGAUGGUAAAGAAAUAUCGACUCCAUUUAAAUUAAAAAGAAUGCUGAAAUGGGAGUUGGAAAGUGAAGUGAACUGCCUAAUGUCUCAGUCUCAGAAACGGAGGCUGUGUCUGUCUGUGGCAAGUGUAUUGUGUCAUUUGCCCCCAAGCAAUCUUUUUCUAGCUCUGUAUAAAUUAUCUACCUGGCAAAAAGAAGACUGAAGCUGGGAGCAAAAAUAUACUUCUGUGGGUGUAAUUGUAUUCGUGGCCAAAUAGAAUUUGGACUUCUUCCAUUAGCAGGAAUGCCUGGUGGUAGUACUAACUUUAAAAUCCUGAGUUGUCAACAAACAGAAGGAGCCUAGCUGAACAGGAUUAGAGAGCAAGGAAUGGAGAGAUGGGAUAAAUAUGCAGCCACAUCCAAGGAUUUAACCUCAAACUUCCUUGAGGAAGAUGACUUUGUGGGAGGGAUCCUUUCCUUGAGGCUGGGCUCAUUUCUUUCUCUUCCCUCUCCCAACUGCUAUGCUUGUCCCCCUUUUGCUUCUUGGUUUCUCCCAAGUACCAGAAGUCAGAACUGGGCAACCAGCAUCUGGGACAGUUUUUUUCCUGGUAGGGGUAGCAGUAUUAAUGAUAUUCCUUCCUCCUGCUGCGGACAUUGAACAUUUCCCUGAAACACCUUGUUGGGUCAUCCUUUUAUCUCCCAUCUUGCUCAUACCAGCUCCAAUCACACUGGUGCUUACUUUUGCUCAAAUAAGCCAGGCAUGUUCCUGGCUCAGUCUUUGCACUUCUUGUUUACUCUAUCGGGAAUUUUUUUUACUCAAAUAAUAUUUUCAUCAUAUGCUUUUACUGGUCACUCAGUUUAGAUUUAGAGUGAAAAGUACCCUGUUUUGCCUGUGACUGGAGAUUCCUAGGACAUGGGACUUCUAGUUUUAAAACCUGGUCAGUCCCAGGAAAAUGUGGAUGCCUUGGUUGCCCUAUUUAAAUUGCAGCUCUUUCUAUCAGGCUCCCUUCCUUUACUGUUUUUUCUUAGCAUUUAUCACCAUAUAUUAUACUAUACAUUCUAUCUACUUAUUUUUUAUCAAUUGCUUUGCCUUCUCCCCCAGUGCUAUCUCCACGAGGGCAAAGAUUUUUUAAAAUUUGUUUUUUUUUUUCCUUUCCCUGAUAUGUCCUUCACAGCCAGAAUGGCUCAAAGUAGGCACUUAGUAACUGUUUUUGAAUGAGUAAAUAAAUGAAUUAAUGAGAAUUUUAGAAAGCAAACCAGAUACGAAGCAACUAUGUUGGGAAUAUAUUUUGUGAAUGAAUGAUUGAAUCCAUAAAGCUUUGGUCUGAUGUAAUUUGACUCACAAAAUAAAUGCAUUGCUUCAUAAUGAGUGAUACAUUUCUAGAGAAAUUGAAGCAAUUUUUUUUCAUAAUUUAAAAUUAAAGAGUUAUUUAAUUUGUUUUUAAAAUAAAUUUUUUGGGAGUUCCUGUCGUGGCUCAGUGGAAUGAAUCUGGCUAGUAACCAUGAGGAUGCGGGUUCAAUCCCUGGCCUUGCUCAGUGGGUUAAGGAUUCGGUGUUGCUGUGAGCUGUGGUGUAAGUCACAGAUGUGGCUCAGAUCCCUAGUUGUUGUGGCCGUGGUAGGCCAGCAGCUGUGGCUGUAGCUUCAAUUAGACCCCUAGCCUGAUAACUUCCAUAUGCUGUAGGUGCAUCCUGAAAAAGCAAAAGUAAAUAAACAAAUAAAUAUUUUGUAAAAAUAGACUAUAGAAUGUAGUAUUACACUUAAAUAUGUUGGUGGAUCAUUUGUGCGGGUUUAGGUCCACUAAGUUUAAUAUAUUGGAAUAUACUUGUAAUGGAAAUUCAAUUAAUUUUAACUCAUGGAAGUCUCUCAUUUGCUUUCAUGAAAACUUAGGUGUAUGUUUAAUUGUGCCUCAGCAGCAAUUCAAGCCACUGCAGUGACAAUGCCAAAUCCUUAACCCACUGAGCCACAUGGGAACUCUGAAACAUUCUUUUCUUAAUAUUCAGUUAUUAUUGACUGGAUGGAUGACUUCAAAAGGCCAAUAUAAAGAAAACCACAUGAAUUAUAAUCUCUCUACUGAACAAGAAAUCAGAAGUCAUGAGCUGCCAUAUACUUGGGAUAGCAUUCUUGGGUGUCUGACUACUGACCUUAGAUCUAAUGUGGAAAGCCUGGCCAAGCUGUCCCAUUGCUCUAUUAUCUGAAAGCAUCUUCAUUGUCCCUCACACGUCCAUAUUGGUGAAGUGCUAUGGGGAGAACAUUGAAUCUGGGUGCACAAACCCUGGGUCCUCAUCCCUUUUUACCAUCUGACUUUCCGUGUGGCCUUGCAUGAUCACUUAAUCUCUUGGAACUUGAACCUCUUAAUAUGUUAAACGAGGAUGGUAAAGGCCUACCUACCUUGCCAGGUUGGUAUGAACUCAAAAUAGGAGUGGUGAUGCUUUGGAAAUCAUUAGGUGCUGUGUAACAAUGUAAGUUGAGGUAAGAUGAAAGGAGAGGUGUUCUCCUGGUUGCAUGUGUUGCAGGUGAUUGAGCAGCCACUGCUGGAUGGGUGGCUCUUGGCUCAUACUUUUCCUUUACCUCAUGAUGAAGGUUCUCUCUCUCACCAGUGAUUCAGAUAGUAUCAGGAUUGGAGCCUGCAUUUUCCCCUUUAGAUCUAAAGAGUCACUUAAGGACUACUAAGUGACUCUCAUUACUUCAUUAAUGAAGUCUCAUGACUUCAUUAGGGAGCUCUUCUAGUGGCUUCUUACCAGGUUUAAUCAACUCACUGUUAUAGAUGCAGGUCACCCACUGGGAGCAAUUUUUUUUUCCUUUAAAAUAAGCAUCAGUACUCCAUUUUCAAAGUAGAGUCUAUCUUUGUAAGUUGAUGAAUAGCCACAAAGAGGCCAAAUAAUAUGGUGGUUAAAAUGGACUCUGGAGCUAAGCUGCUUAUGAUUAAAUCCCACCUUUGCCAUUUGCAAGAUAUUUGGUAUUGAACAAAUGACUUAAUCCAUAUGUAUCUUGGUCUCCUCUACCUCACAGUAUGUAUGAGAAUUAAAAGAGUUAAUAACACAAAGUGCUUAGAAGAAUAGCUUCUGAUAUGUAAGGGAUGUUAUGUAAUUUUUAUUAUGUUACUAUUAUCAUGUUAAUCUGACCCUGCACUCAGAUGGGGUGACUUUGGCCUCACUUCAGGCCUGGUUUCUGGUAUUCUUUUUGUAAAGAUCCACCAAUGACUAUGCUUCAUUUCACUUCCAUGAGCUUUAGGACACAUGCAAAUUGAGUAUUAUCUUGAGGGAGUGGUACCCCUGCCAGGCUUUCCUCUCCUCGGAAAAAUCCACCAUGGACUUCAGGUGUAUUUUUGGAUUAUUUAGGAGUAAUAACAUGCAGGACAGUAAGUCACAGUUCUUAGCAAUUAUUACACCAUCUAAGGGUGAUUGCUCUGCUUAAAGCAGCCCCCUGUUGAAGUAAGAGCCGUAUGUAAUUUCUUAUACAUAUCUUGCUAUGAUGGUAUCAUCUAUCCCAUCUUUAUUGUCACUGUUGGUUGACUCAAGGGAGGAAAACAGACUCAGUGUGGCUGGUGUAUAAGCUGUCCAGUGAAAGGCUUAGGAGGUGAUUUUCCAAGUAAGUUCUAUUAGAAUGUGGAUUUUUAUUUAUUUAGGCCAACUCAGAUGUUCUACUGGGGUAUAUGUUAUUGAAGAUAUGUAGAGAAACAAGAGUUAUUUAUCAGCAGCAUUAAAGUUAAAUGAGCUGAAGUGAUGAGUAAGCAGUCAUUACUUAGAGAGUAAGCUAUGAACAAACAGAAAUCAUGCAUAAGCAGAAGGCAAAAGACAUACUACAGCAGAGAGUGAGAUAGCUGGCUUUGUAGCGGCUACAGCAGAAGCAGAGGGAGAUCAACAAAGUCCUUCUGUUAAAGGGAUGAUAGGCUAAUAAACUCCCCAACUGCUUUGAGUCCUUCAAUUUUUGACUUGUUUCAAAUUCCAGAGGUCCACA
rnacentral:lncRNA from 1 species